rnacentral:rRNA from 1 species
UACGUAGGUGGCAAGCGUUGUCCGGAAUUACUGGGUGUAAAGCGCGUGUAGGCGGCAGACCAAGUCGGCGGUGAAAGCGCCCGGCUCAACUGGGCGAGGUCCGUGGAAACUGGUCAGCUGGAGGACGGUAGAGGCGAAUGGAAUUCCCGGUGUAGUGGUGAAAUGCGUAGAGAUCGGGAGGAACACCUGUGGCGAAGGCGGCUCGCUGGGCCGGUCCUGACGCUGAGACGCGAAGGCGUGGGGAGCGAACGGG